UUUGAUGUCUACAUCCUGCUGAACUUGGU
rnacentral:piRNA from 1 species